AUUGAACGCUGGCGGCAUGCCUUACACAUGCAAGUCGAACGGUAACGCGGGGCAACCUGGCGACGAGUGGCGAACGGGUGAGUAAUACAUCGGAACGUGCCCAGUAGUGGGGGAUAGCCCGGCGAAAGCCGGAUUAAUACCGCAUACGACCUACGGGUGAAAGCGGGGGAUCGCAAGACCUCGCGUUAUUGGAGCGGCCGAUGUCGGAUUAGCUAGUUGGUGGGGUAAAAGCCUACCAAGGCUACGAUCCGUAGCUGGUCUGAGAGGACGACCAGCCACACUGGGACUGAGACACGGCCCAGACUCCUACGGGAGGCAGCAGUGGGGAAUUUUGGACAAUGGGCGCAAGCCUGAUCCAGCCAUGCCGCGUGCGGGAAGAAGGCCUCGGUUGUAACG
rnacentral:rRNA from 1 species